AUUCAAUUUAGAAUAGUUUCCUUUUUUGCAGUCCCUCUCUCUCUCACAGUUGGUCCUUAUCUUGCUUGUUGUCCUUACGGUAAAGGUUCACGUCAUGCCAAGGGAAGCAAUGUGAAUCAGCGGUUUGGGUGAAGGGGGGAGGAGUGGAGGAGAAAGAGACCCAAUAAAUCAUAGACGAGGAGGCAGAAGGGAACGAGCGCAGCGGGGCAUUUGUUGUGGAUUGUAGUGUGUGCAUGCGCUCAAGAAGAGGAGUGACUGCAGCAGUGUAAGGAGGAGAGAGGCGCAACAUGGUGCUAUUCCACGUACCAUGCAUAGAGAGUCGGAUUGAAAGAGCUGUUGUAGGGAUUUAUCCUAGAUCGUGGUGCACGCAUGCGUCUAGUACAAUGAGUGAUUGCAGCGAUCUAAGGAGGAAAGAGGUGCGGCAUGGCUUUAUUCCAUGCCAAUUUGAGGCGAAAGGAAAUGGGCGUCGCAGAGAGUUUGUCUUGGAUUGUAGAAAUUAGCCACAAGUGGAGUAAUUGCAGAUCAAGUAAAGUCGGCUAUUUUGGCGGUUGCAAGCAAUAGAGGAUCGAGGUAAACACAGCAGUAAGGAGUCGAGGGACGGUACCAUGGCAUGCAAGGAAUGAUGCAGGAUCAAGAUUUAGGUCAUGAUAGAGAAAGCAGUGCAAAUUAAACAGGCACCGCGGGGUAUCUAUCUUAGAUUGCAGUGCAUGCAUUCGCCCGCCGCAAAGAAUAUCUACAACGAUUUGAGGAGGAGAGAGGCGUGGGGAGGGAAAAAAGAGACCCGACAUACCACAGACGAGGAAGAAGCAGGGAACGAGCACCGUGGGGCGUUUCUCUUGGAUCCUAGUGCACGUAUGUGUCUUGCGCAAAGAGUGACUACAAUGGCUUGAGGAGGAGAGAGGCACGGCAUGGCGUUGUUCCACGCUAAUCCCAUGCACCAUGGAUGGAGAGCUUGGAUCGUGCGAACGCCCUGUGAGAGGAGUCACUACGCAAGGAAGGAGAGAUUGUAUAUUGAGUAUAGCCAAUUGUAUUGGCAGCGGUUAAAGGAGUGAUUGCAUAUUGAGUAUAGCCGGUUGCAUUGGCGAUUGUGAGCAACAAGGGAUUGAAAUGAAUAGCACAAAACUAGGGAGUUGGAAGAGGAGAAUUGAGAUGAAUAGCACAGCACUAGGGAAUUGGAGGAGGAUGAAUGUCUCAUACCUUAGACACUAGUGUGUGAAGGAGGCAAGGUAUCAAGGGAUUCAGGGUAUGAUGGAGGGUUUUGUGAGAGUCAGGGUACCAAGGAUGCAAGGAACGAUGGAGGGUAUUGUAAGAAGAAGGAUAUCAAGGGAACCAAGGUAUGAUGGUGGGUAUUGUAAGAGGAAGCGUAUCAAGGGAAUCAAGGUAUGAUGGUAGGUGCUGUAAGAAGAAGGGUAUCAAGGGAUCCAGGGUGCGAUAGUGGCUAUUGUAAGAGGAUGGAUAUGAAGGGAUCCAUGAUGUGACGGAGGAUAUUGUAUAAGGCCGGGUAUGACAGAGGAUAUUUCAAGUGGCAGGGUAUCGUAAGAGACAGGGUAUUGGAAGAGGCAGAUGUAAGAU